UCGAAAUUUCUUUUCUCUCCCGCCGCCGCCCAUCCAUUUCCUUCUUCUUCUUCUCCCUUCCUCGCCCGUCACCGCCAGCCAUCUCUCCCUUCGUUUUCUCCUUCUCCUUCGUGCUCUUCUCCAUCUCAGCCACCAUCACCCAUCGUCUCCAUCUCCGUCGGCGUGUGUAGGUUCACCGGUCGUCGUCCGCCGCGGCUCCCCAUCCAUUUCCGAUUUCCUUCUCGGCCUCACACAACGGCAGAUCUGCCGCCGCUCAUCGCCGCUCCACGAAACAGCCAGCUCCGUUCCUCGUGCUUCGUCCGCGAAGCGCCGCCGCCGUUGUUCGCCGGAAGAAAGGAUCACCGAAACCGCGGCUACCAUUUUCUUCGUCCAACCCGACCCGGCUCCAAGUCGGCUGUCCAAGCCGAGCCGAGAUCGCUGCCAAGCCGAGCCACAAUCCCUGUUCAAGCCGAGCCGCCAGCCGCUUCAAGCCGAGCCGCCAGCCGCUUCAAGCCGAGCCGCCAGCCGCCAGCCGCUUCAAGCCGAGCCGCCAGCCGCUUCAAGCCGAGCCGUGAGCCGAGUGAGCCGAGCCGCGAGCCGAGUGAGCCGAGGCGCGAGCCGAGUGAGCCGAGCCGCGAGCCGAACCAAGCCGAGCCGAGCCGAGCCGAGCCGAGCCACCUAAGCCUUCUUUCCUCCACUUCGGUUCACGGUGAGUCUUCGGUAAGGAUUGUUUUGAUGAAUUCCCUAAUGUUACCUCGUCCGAUUCGAGUUUGAAUGUUGGAUUAAGAUAUGGCCCUACUUUUCUCCCUUGAAGGUAGUGCAGAGUUGACGCUUAAGUUCUCGGGUUCCGCGGCAGACCUAGUUGGAGUUAGCUUCCUUUCCUUGGAUCUGUCGAGCGCGGUUUUCGAUCGAGGGGUAUAACCGAGUUUCAGGUAAGGGUUUUCCUACUACUGGACCCCGAGUCCAGGCUAAGACCGUAGUAAUCCACAGGGGAUUACACGUUAGUGACUGUACUGAAUAUCUGUAUGCGUGUUGACUGUUAAGUACUGAUAUUAUUUUCGGUCUGAUGAAAAUAUACUGUGACUGCUGUUGUGGAUUGAAAUUAUAUGUUGAUGGACCUUAAAGUUACGGUUAGUAUGUAUUAAACUCUGGUCUGGAUGUGGUUCAUGGAGUUUGGAUGGGGAAAGACAGUGAGUCCGGUUUUGGUUGAUUAGUCGAUUGGGCCUAGGGUUUCCCUAUUGGUGUACGAAUCGGUAAUGCAUAUAGCAACUGAGGGUGUAGAUGUUUAGACCUAUACUAUCUGACUGACAAAGCCUAUGGCGGAACUGUAAUAGGAAUGCCGUUGUGAUGUGACUGAUGUAGAUAGUUUGGUAAGGGCUGAGGGGUAACGGUUAGCUUCAUCUAUGGGGUAGUGUACCUUACUGAUGUGUGCAUCCUUCGGGAGCACUAGACUGAUAUGUGCAUCCUUCGGGAGCACUAGACCGAUAUGUGCAUCCUUCGGGAGCACUAGACUGAUAUGUGCAUCCUUCGGGAGCACUAGACUGAUAUGUGCGUCCUUCGGGAGCACUAGACUGAUAUGUGCAUCCUUCGGGAGCACUAGACUGAUAUGUGCGUUCUACGGAACCACUAGACUGUUAUGUAGGGUACCCCCGAAUAGGAAGUUAACUGUUGUUCCCUAACGGGCCCAGUAGUGGGUCCCUUACUGGGUAUGUUUAUACUCACCCUUUCUCUUCUUUAACUUUCAGGUAGGGUUACAGCGAGGGGCAGACCGACGAGAGGCAGGAAGGAUGCGUGAAGGCCAUAUGGACGCGUCCGUUUUUCUUUCGCUUCCGCUAUGUUUUUUGUCAGAAUAUUUUGAUUGUGAUUUUUGGACUGGUGACUUGACAUUUUAUUUUGUGACUUUUUGAGUUAUUAAAAAUAGGGCCCGAAACUGUCUUUUGUAA